GUUCCAGACUCCUACGGGAGGCAGCAGUGGGGAAUAUUGCACAAUGGGGGGAACCCUGAUGCAGCGACGCCGCGUGAGUGAAGAAGUAUUUCGGUAUGUAAAGCUCUAUCAGCAGGGAAGAAAAUGACGGUACCUGACUAAGAAGCCCCGGCUAACUACGUGCCAGCAGCCGCGGGAAUACGUAGGGGGCAAGCGUUAUCCGGAUUUACUGGGUGUAAAGGGGGCGCAGACGGCGAUGCAAGCCAGGAGUGAAAGCCCGGGGCCCAACCCCGGGACUGCUCUUGGAACUGCGUGGCUAGAGUGCAGGAGGGGCAGGCGGAAUUCCUGGUGUAGCGGUGAAAUGCGUAGAUAUCAGGAGGAACACCGGUGGCGAAGGCGGCCUGCUGGACUGCAACUGACGUUGCGGCCCGAAAGCGUGGGGAGCAAACAGGAUUAGAUACCCUGGUA
rnacentral:rRNA from 1 species